UACGUAGGGACCGAGCGUUGUCCGGAUUCAUUGGGCGUAAAGAGCUCGUAGGCGGCUGUUCAAGUCGAACGUGAAAACUCGGAGCUCAACUCCGAGCCUGCGUUCGAUACUGGACGGCUAGAGUCUGGUAGGGGGAUCUGGAAUUCCUGGUGUAGCGGUGAAAUGCGCAGAUAUCAGGAGGAACACCGGUGGCGAAGGCGGGUCUCUGGGCCGAUACUGACGCUGAGGAGCGAAAGCGUGGGGAGCGAACAGG
rnacentral:rRNA from 1 species